ACUCCUACGGGAGGCAGCAGUGGGGAAUAUUGGACAAUGGGGGAACCGUAGCAUCCAGCCAUGCCGCGCUGUGUGAAGAAGGCCUUCGGGGUUGUAAAGCACUUUCAGUAGGGAGGAAGGUAGUGUAGUUAACACCUGCACUAUUUGACGUUACCUACAGAAGAAGCACCGGCUAACUCCGUGCCAGCAGCCGCGGUAAUACGGAGGGUGCGAGCGUUAAUCGGAAUUACUGGGCGUAAAGCGCAUGCAGGCGGCCUGUUAAGUCAGAUGUGAAAGCCC
rnacentral:rRNA from 1 species